rnacentral:lncRNA from 1 species
UUCUUUUCUUCGUAUUUUUUUUAUUAUAUCUAUUCUAUUGAUUGAAUAAGUGAUGAUCCAAUGGUUCUUACUCAAAGAAUCUUUGGACUUAGUUUGAAGGUUUUAUUGAAUCAUCGCUGUUCUGGUAUGAAUCUGAAGUUUCAAUUGAUUCAUAGGGUCUUAACAAGAGAAUUCCUAUCAAAAAGAAAGAAAACAAGAAUAAAGCCACAUUUCAUACAAAGAACAAAUCAAAGCAAAGAAAAAUAAAUAAGUAGGUAAAUAGAAGAUUCAAGAGGCCUGUAACGCUCAAGAUACAA